rnacentral:lncRNA from 1 species
AGAAGAUGUGGUACAAGACAACUCUCCAUCAAGUCACAAUUUGUAAAAAAAUAAACCAUUACAUGUACGGUCUUCAAUACACCCUUUGCUCACACUACACAGCAAACCAUGAAGGAUUCCAAAAAUGACUAGUGGAAAAGCAGAAAAAUGAAACACUUGUGAACCACAUCAACAAACGACAGCCACAUACACUAAACAUCAGGUGCAAACAAAUGCAUGUUUAAUAUCCAGGGUAGGUACUUUGGAUAAUUUUACUGCAUUUUUGGGGAAGACGGCUUUAAGCCGUCAAUCCCCAAUUGGGUUGACCAGAGUGACAUUCCCUC